AUAGACCUCGGGAGGCAGCAGUAGGGAAUUUUCGUCAAUGGGCGCAAGCCUGAACGAGCAAUGCCGCGUGAACGAGGAAGGUCUUCGGAUCGUAAAGUUCUGUUGAAGGGGAAAAAGAGCGGAGAGAGGAAAUGGUCUCCGAUUGAUAUUACCCUUCGAGGAAGUCACGGCUAACUACGUGCCAGCAGCCGCGGUAAUACGUAGGGGGCUAGCGUUAUCCGGAAUUACUGGGCGUAAAGGGUGCGUAGGUGGUUUCUUAAGUCAGAGGUGAAAGGCUACGGCCCAACCGUAGUAAGCCUUUGAAA
rnacentral:rRNA from 1 species